rnacentral:rRNA from 1 species
CCUACGGGAGGCUGCAGUGAGGAAUAUUGGUCAAUGGCCGGAAGGCUGAACCAGCCAAGCCGCGUGAAGGACGAAGGUGCCAAGCAUUGUAAACUUCUUUUGUCAAGGGACAAAAUCAGGCUCGAGAGCCUGACCGAGGGUACUCGAAGAAAAAGCAUCGGCGAACACCGGGCCAGCAGCCGCGGUAAGACGGAGGAUGCGAGCGUUAGCCGGAUUUAUUGGGUUGAAAGGGUGCGUAGGCGGAUUGUUAAGUCAGCGUUAAAAGCCCGGGGCUCAACCCCGGCGAGCCGUUGAAACUGGCUGUCUUGAGAUGUCGAGAGGUAUGCGGAAUGCGCAGUGUAGCGAUGAAAUGCUUAGAUAGUGCGCAGAACUCCGAUUGCGAAGGCAGCAUACCGGCGGCGAUCUGACGCUGAGGCACGAAAGCGUGGGUAUCGAACAGGAUUAGAUACCCGGGUAGUC